GCACGCACCUGGUGUCCAUUCCCUCAUUAGGUUGCCUAUAUUAGUUCCCUUGUUUCUGGGCGUCUUAGUGAGGUAUUGUUAAAUGUUCAGUGAUCCGUGCGCGGUUGUUUUACGUGCCUUGUUUGUCAGAAGAACGCAAUACAUUGACUUUGACUGCCUCCCUGCAUUCGACUCCUUUUUUUGUAACACACGCCACGAAGACACACUGUUACAGCGCGGACAUAAGGACCCCUUCUGGACCAGGCGAUGCUCUUUACUGGGGAGGCUUUAAGAAGCAUCACAACACAACCCCUUAUUUCCUCUGUUCUACAUAAUUUUUGAGAACUAUCUCUGGUUGACUCGAGGUUUGGACCUGUCCCCCGUGGUUCUCUCCUGUCCUACCAGUGUCCAUCAGUUACAACAAAGCUUGACAAACACCCUGAUGCUCCAGUCUUUCCUGAACUCUCUGUAGGUUUGAAGUUAGAGAGCACAGUAUAAUUCGUCAAGCCGUCACAGGAAUUGUAUGCAUUAAUAGAAGAAGGUAAAAGACAGCAAUCAGAGUGCCCGCUAUCGUACAAAAUGUGUGAGCCAUCAGGUUUUGUGAAGUGUCUCAAGUGCGAGGAGAGUCCUCUGGUCAGGCACAGGCAAAAUGCAUCAUAAAGUGGGGGCUACGGGGAACAGCUCUAGAGCCAGAGUUCCUUGAGAAGUUUUCUGAAAUGUGUAAUGUCACUGUGUCAUCUUGUGGCUUUGUAAUUCACCCAGAUGCUCCUCACCUUGGUGCCAGCCCUGAUGGCAAGGAUUUUGACCCUGCCGCAAACCCUCCUUUUGGGCUUGCAGAGGUAAAAUGCCCCGAGGUUGACAGUGUUACCAAGCAGGACACAUUAAACAUAUCAAGGGCAAGGCCACAUUUAAGAAGACUCCUAAAUACUACUGACAUUUUUGUCAUCCAUUUAAAAUGUGGGUUUUAAUCCUGAAGUGCUACACCUGUUUUGGUAUUUUUUGAAAAUAUUUUACAUGAUGAUGGGUGUGUAUUUUUAAAACAUAGUCUGCAAUUUAAUGAACCAUUAUGCUCUGU
ensembl:lncRNA